GGCUGCAUUCAGACCACCCUGAAAGCGCCAGAUCCUGUUUGAUCUCUGAGGUCAAUCAUGGCCAUCCCUGAUUAGUAUAUGAAUGGAAGAAAUGGCUAGGAAAAGCUGAGA
rnacentral:rRNA from 14 species